CUCGUAGGCGGUUCGUCGCGUCCGGUGUGAAAGUCCAUCGCCUAACGGUGGAUCUGCGCCGGGUACGGGCGGGCUGGAGUGCGGUAAGGGAGACUGGAAUUCCCGGUGUAACGGUGGAAUGUGUAGAUAUCGGGAAGAACACCAAUGGCGAAGGCAGGUCUCUGGGCCGUUACUGACGCUGAGGAGCGAAAGCGUGGGGAGCGAACA
rnacentral:rRNA from 1 species